CCGUAACUAUAACGGUCCUAAGGUAGCGAAAUUCCUUGUCGGGCAAGUUCCGACCCGCACGAAAGGCGUAACGAUUUGGGCGCUGUCUCAGCUGUAGACUCGGUGAAGUCUUAGUACCUGUGAAGAUGCAGGUUGCCCGCGACUAGACGGAAAGACCCCAUGGAGCUUCACUGCAGGUUGACAUUGGGCUUGGAUGCAUGAUGUACAGGAUAGGUGGGAGGCUGUGAGCCGUGCGCGCCAGCGUACGGGGAGCCGCUGUUGGGAUACCACCCUUCAUGCAUCUAGGUCCUAACCGGAGGCAACGGGCCACGGGACAGUGUCAGUCGGGCAGUUUGACUGGGGCGGUCGCCUCCCAAAGAGUAACGGAGGCGCCCAAAGAUACCCUCAGCAUGGAUGGAAACCAUGCAUAGAGUGCAAAGGCAUAAGGGUGUCUGACUGCGAGACAUACAGGUCGAGCAGGGACGAAAGUCGGGCUUAGUGAUCCGGCGGAUCCGAAUGGAAGGGCCGUCGCUCAACGGAUAAAAGCUACCCUGGGGAUAACAGGCUGAUCUCCCCCAAGAGUUCACAUCGACGGGGAGGUUUGGCACCUCGAUGUCGGCUCAUCGCAUCCUGGAGCUGAAGUCGGUUCCAAGGGUUGGGCUGUUCGCCCAUUAAAGCGGUACGCGAGCUGGGUUCAGAACGUCGUGAGACAGUUCGGUCCCUAUCUGUCGUGGGCGCAGGAGGUUUGAGGAGAGCUGCCCCUAGUACGAGAGGACCGGGGUGGACGGACCGAUGGUGCACCAGUUGUCACGCCAGUGGCACAGCUGGGCAGCCAAGUCCGGACGGGAUAAGCGCUGAAGGCAUCUAAGCGUGAAGCCCCCUCCAAGAUGAGACCUCCCAUUGGCGACAAGUAAGGCCCCUCGAAGACGACGAGGUUGAUAGGCCGCGAGUGCAAGCGCAGCGAUGUGCUUAGCGGGGCGGUACUAAUAGGCCGAGGACUUGGCCAA
rnacentral:rRNA from 1 species